rnacentral:rRNA from 1 species
GGAUGGGCAUGCGGCGCAUUAGCUAGUUGGCGGGGCAACGGCCCACCAAGGCGACGAUGCGUAGGGGUUCUGAGAGGAAGGUCCCCCACACUGGUACUGAGACACGGACCAGACUCCUACGGGAGGCAGCAGUGAGGAAUAUUGGUCAAUGGGCGCAGGCCUGAACCAGCCAAGUCGCGUGAGGGAGGACGGUCCUACGGAUUGUAAACCUCUUUUGUCGGGGAGUAACGUGCGGGACGCGUCCCGUAUUGAGAGUACCCGAAGAAAAAGCAUCGGCUAACUCCGUGCCAGCAGCCGCGGUAAUACGGAGGAUGCGAGCGUUAUCCGGAUUUAUUGGGUUUAAAGGGUGCGCAGGCGGCGCGCCAAGUCAGCGGUCAAAGUUCCGGGCUCAACCCGGUGUCGCCGUUGAAACUGGCGUGCUCGAGUGCGUGCGAGGAAGGCGGAAUGCGUUGUGUAGCGGUGAAAUGCAUAGAUAUGACGCAGAACUCCGAUUGCGAAGGCAGCUUUCCAGCGCGCUACUGACGCUGAGGCACGAAAGCGUGGGGAUCGAACAGGAUUAGAUACCCUGGUAGUCCACGCAGUAAAUGAUGACUACUAGCUUUCCGGGAUGAUUGAGUCCUGGGAGGCACAGCGAAAGCGUUAAGUAGUCCACCUGGGGGAGUACGCCGGCAACGGUGAAACUCAAAGGAAUUGACGGGGGCCCGCACAAGCGGAGGAACAUGUGGUUUAAUUCGAUGAUAC